rnacentral:rRNA from 1 species
UUGUUGUCCAAGUUUAAGGUGGUAGGCUGAGAUCUUAGGUAAAUCCGGGAUCUUAAGGCCGAGAGCUGAUGACGAGUGUCCUUUAGGACACGAAGUGGUUGAUGCCAUGCUUCCAAGAAAAGCUUCUAAGCUUCAGGUAACCAGGAACCGUACCCCAAACCGACACAGGUGGUUGGGUAGAGAAUACCAAGGCGCUUGAGAGAACUCGGGUGAAGGAACUAGGCAAAAUGGCACCGUAACUUCGGGAGAAGGUGCGCCGGUGAGGGUGAAGCAUUUACUGCGUAAGCCCACGCCGGUCGAAGAUACCAGGCCGCUGCGACUGUUUAUUAAAAACACAGCACUCUGCAAACACGAAAGUGGACGUAUAGGGUGUGACGCCUGCCCGGUGCCGGAAGGUUAAUUGAUGGGGUUAGCUAACGCGAAGCUCUUGAUCGAAGCCCCGGUAAACGGCGGCCGUAACUAUAACGGUCCUAAGGUAGCGAAAUUCCUUGUCGGGUAAGUUCCGACCUGCACGAAUGGCGUAACGAUGGCGGCGCUGUCUCCACCCGAGACUCAGUGAAAUUGAAAUCGCUGUGAAGAUGCAGUGUAUCCGCGGCUAGACGGAAAGACCCCGUGAACCUUUACUAUAGCUUUGCACUGGACUUUGAAUUUGCUUGUGUAGGAUAGGUGGGAGGCUUUGAAGCGUGGACGCCAGUCUGCGUGGAGCCAACCCUGAAAUACCACCCUGGCAACUUUGAGGUUCUAACUCAGGUCCGUUAUCCGGAUCGAGGACAGUGUAUGGUGGGUAGUUUGACUGGGGCGGUCUCCUCCUAAAGAGUAACGGAGGAGUACGAAGGUGCGCUCAGACCGGUCGGAAAUCGGUCGUAGAGUAUAAAGGCAAAAGCGCGCUUGACUGCGAGACAGACACGUCGAGCAGGUACGAAAGUAGGUCUUAGUGAUCCGGUGGUUCUGUAUGGAAGGGCCAUCGCUCAACGGAUAAAAGGUACUCCGGGGAUAACAGGCUGAUACCGCCCAAGAGUUCAUAUCGACGGCGGUGUUUGGCACCUCGAUGUCGGCUCAUCACAUCCUGGGGCUGAAGCCGGUCCCAAGGGUAUGGCUGUUCGCCAUUUAAAGUGGUACGCGAGCUGGGUUUAGAACGUCGUGAGACAGUUCGGUCCCUAUCUGCCGUGGACGUUUGAGAUUUGAGAGGGGCUGCUCCUAGUACGAGAGGACCGGAGUGGACGAACCUCUGGUGUUCCGGUUGUCACGCCAGUGGCAUUGCCGGGUAGCUAUGUUCGGAAUAGAUAACCGCUGAAAGCAUCUAAGCGGGAAACUAGCCUCAAGAUGAGAUCUCACUGGAACCUUGAGUUCCCUGAAGGGCCGUCGAAGACUACGACGUUGAUAGGUGGGGUGUGUAAGCGCUGUGAGGCGUUGAGCUAACCCAUACUAAUUGCCCGUGAGGCUUGACC